UACAGGGGAUGCAAGUGUUAUUCGGAAUUAUUGGGCGUAAAGCGUCUGUAGGUGGAUAUUUAAGUCUUUUGUCAAAUCUUUGGGCUUAACCUAAAAAAGGCAAAAGAAACUGUUUAUCUAGAGUUUGGUAGAGGUAAAGGGAAUUUCCAGUGGAGCGGUGAAAUGCGUAGAUAUUGGAAGGAACACCGAAAGCGAAGGCACUUUACUGGGCCAUAACUGACACUGAGAGACGAAAGCUAGGGGAGCAAAUCGG
rnacentral:rRNA from 1 species